GAAAAGAACUUUGAAAAGAGAGUUAAACAGUACGUGAAAUUGUUGAAAGGGAAACGAUUAAAGUCAGUCGUACAGACGGGGAAUCAGCCUCUUGUGCGUAAAAUCGUGGGAUGUAAGAGUCUUGCGCUUGCGAUUGUUGUGCAUUUUUGGUGUACUUUCUCGUAUUGUAGGUUAGCAUCGGUUUUGACCGUCAUAAAAUGACUGGAGGAAUGUAGCUUUGACCUCGGUUGAAGUGUUAUAGCCUUUGGUAGAUGUGAUGGUUGGGAUCGAGGAUUGCAACGAAUACCCUUUAAGGGCUAUCCGCCUGGCCUCUGACUUUCACUUUGAUCUCGAAAGCUUGCUUUCGAUUUUAAAGUUGGUGGUUAAAAGGUUAGAACGGAUUAAAUUCGUUAAGGAUGCU
rnacentral:rRNA from 1 species